AUCCAAAAUUUAAUAAAGCCGGAGACAGCAGGUGCUAAUAGCUUAAUAUCCUGCCGAGGUUGUAAUUUUAAGUACCUACAGUUUAAUCCGCAGAAGCGGAAUAACUACAGGAUUAAAAAUACCACUUUGAAACCCCGGCUAAGAUAGCUGGGGUUAACUGUUUUCGGC
rfam:Anabaena sp. CRKS33 289, whole genome shotgun sequence.